rnacentral:sRNA from 1 species
UCCGGAUCCUGGUCACCGAUAUCAUCGGCAACCAGGCCCGGGUCGGGAUCGAGGCGCCGCGUGGCGUCCUGAUCGUUCGCGACGAGUUGAAAACGGCACCGAAAGGCUGACGAACGGUAGAAAGUAAAAGCCCCGCGUUCGCGGGGCUUUU